rnacentral:tRNA from 1 species
GGAGGAUUGGCAGAGAGGUAAUGCGCUAGACUUGAAAUCUAGUGAGUCCGAAAGGAUACGUGGGUUCGAUUCCUACAUCCUCCG